GGAUCAAUAUGUUGGUCGUGCCUUGGUACGUACUAUCUUAUUGGUUUCUCCUUCUGACGAACCAUGAUGUCAUUAAUUUGAUGUCUUGGGGAAUCAGGACUGUUACUUUGAAAAAAUUAGAGUGUUUAAAGCAGGCUCACGCUUGAAUAUAUUAGCAUGGAAUAAUGAAAUAGGACGUUUGAUUCUAUUUUGUUGGUUUCUAGGAUCGAUGUAAUGAUUAAUAGGGAUAGUUG
rnacentral:rRNA from 1 species